AUUAAUGUCAGACCAAGCGCGAGGAGACGCAUGUCGGUCACGAAACGAGCCGGCCUCUGUAAAAGAUCGUCGAGUCGUUAGGCGAAACAAAGCUAAUUUACCGUUCCCCCAACAUUGUUUCGAGCAAAAGAGUGAUGAUUACAACGUGUUCGCGGGUGAACAACCACGUAUGGAAACGACCGAGCGGAGGUUUGAUGACCUCUCUUUCUCUCUCACCGCGCGCUACUAGUGAACGUUUCGCUCGAAAAGUAACGGAGGUACGCACACGCGAAUUACAACGACAACGAUUAGCGGCACGAAAGCCGGCGCAGCGUACAGUAGAGAUCGCAAGAAUGAGAAUUAAUCAAGGUCAAAUGUGGAACGUUUCGAACAUUCGUUCGUAGUACACCGUGGAGUACAUUUUACGCUGGGCGUAUAAGCGUGAACUCCGUUACUUAAUCGAUACCCGCCGUCCCGACGCGGUGUUGAUACCAAGACGCAAAGAAGUCACGAAGGCGCAUAAAAUUGGCGUUUAAAUGCCGACAUUUGAAAGCUACGCGAGGAGAGAGAGAGAUACAAUGACGAAGGAGCCACUGAACCGGUUAUUACACCGACACUCCACGCGCAUGGUAUCCCAGAUAUCGCAGGAUAUACAAUAUAUUCGUCAAGAAGCGAAGGCCCUGCUUUCCGGCGGCACUACUCUCGCAUCGGCCGCGAUAGUGAGUCAGACCCGUGCGGCGAACAGGGGCCCGGAC
rnacentral:lncRNA from 13 species